rnacentral:rRNA from 1 species
UACGUAGGGUGCAAGCGUUGUCCGGAAUUAUUGGGCGUAAAGAGCUCGUAGGCGGUUUGUCGCGUCUGCUGUGAAAACGCGAGGCUCAACCUCGCGCCUGCAGUGGGUACGGGCAGACUAGAGUGCGGUAGGGGAGAUUGGAAUUCCUGGUGUAGCGGUGGAAUGCGCAGAUAUCAGGAGGAACACCGAUGGCGAAGGCAGUGUCCUGGGCCGAUCCUGACGCUGAGGAGCGAAAGCUGGGGGAGCAAACAGG